UACGUAGGGGGCUAGCGUUGUCCGGAAUCAUUGGGCGUAAAGCGCGUGUAGGCGGCCCGGUAAGUCCGCUGUGAAAGUCCAGGGCUCAACCCUGGGAUGCCGGUGGAUACUGUCGGGCUCGAGUCCGGAAGAGGCGAGUGGAAUUCCUGGUGUAGCGGUGAAAUGCGCAGAUAUCAGAAAGAACACCCGUGGCGAAGGCGGCUCUCUGGGACGGUACUGACGCUGAGACGCGAAAGCGUGGGGAGCGAACAGG
rnacentral:rRNA from 1 species